UACGGAGGGUGCAAGCGUUAAUCGGAAUUACUGGGCGUAAAGCGCACGCAGGCGGUCUGUCAAGUCGGAUGUGAAAUCCCCGGGCUCAACCUGGGAACUGCAUUCGAAACUGGCAAGCUAGAGUCUUGUAGAGGGGGGUAGAAUUCCAGGUGUAGCGGUGAAAUGCGUAGAGAUCUGGAGGAAUACCGGUGGCGAAGGCGGCCCCCUGGACAAAAACUGACGCUCAGGUGCGAAAGCGUGGGGAGCAAACAGG
rnacentral:rRNA from 1 species